ACAGGAAUAGGCUUGAAAUAAUGCAUAUGGAAAAUCCUUUUCAGAGGUUGACACCUGCAGUUUGGAUGAAGAAGUAGCAACUCUUUUCCUUGCCACUGUAGCAUGUCCAGCAUGUUCCAGAGUCUUGGUUUUGAUAUAGGUAUUGAUUAAUAGUUUCAACAAUUGAUGAACUGCUGCUGGUCUGUGUCAGAUGUCUUAGUGGUCUUGGCAAUAAGCAUGGUCAUCCUGCAAAAUGAAGAUCCUCUCUGGGAUUUUAGGAAUGUUGAGACGUGCUGGUUAUAAACCCCUAAGUACAAAAUGGUCACGGAUGGCUGGAAUGAGGCAUGUUCUAAUGGAAACAAAUCACUUGUCAGUAAGCAGCCUUCAAACUUUUGAACAAAAGCUCAAAAGGGUCAGGGAAAAGACAUUGUUUGUUGAUUUAAAAUGUCUGGAUGCAGGUCAUCAGGAAGGCAUAGGCUUCAAUAUUGUUGAGGUAACUCUUCAGUUCUGUGAGUUUUAAACAAGGGUAAAUACUUUGAUGGCAACCACAAAUGGAAUGAGGAACUUAAAUUAAACAGAAAGCUCACACAUUGUAGAGUGAAGUAUGCAUAAUACCAAAAUGUAAAGCACGUACACCUCUGCAAAGCAGCCGCAGAAUGGAGCUCAGCUGUGUGAACCACAUUAAGGUAUAUUGACAUGACUGUUUGUGAGGAAAACUAUGCUGUAUCUGCUGAAAUUUAGAAGGGUGACUAGUAUUCUUGUGUCUGUGAUUCAUUGGUAUUUUCGUUUGUUAAAAUAUGUAGCUUAGCCUUAUAGUGAUUUUAUGAUAAAUCCAAAUCCCAGUUAUUCACCUUUCUGUAGGUUUUAACUCUAAGUGAAAUUCUUCAAUGCAGUAGUUAAUCUUUUUAUAUUUGCUUGCAAAACCCAUAAUGAGGUUCAUGACCCCUAGAACAACUAUAAUGAGGGAUCAGCUCUUCUUUUUCCUGUGUAAUAUUUUGUGUUGCUCUGUGAAAUGAAAAAUGUUAGUGUAUAAUUGUCUAAGGUGAACGAAUUACAGUCCUUGUGGAGCAUCAUGUUGAAUCUCUUAAUUCUACUGUAGCUUGGUUUCAUAAGAAAAUUGUGCUUACACAAUCUUUCUUUAUGAUCUGUCUGUCUGUCUGCUAUUUACCCUCACAAGCAACUUCUGAAUUUGGUCAGUCUUCAGCUGAAUUUGAUGAGUGUGUGCAAUAAUUAUAUUUUGACUAAAUUUGUAGAAACUACUUUCUCUCUAGAAGAGUGGCAGUGCCUCUGCAGAAGGGAAGGCAGAUUAAGAAAUUUUCAGCAGUCAGCAUGGGCCUCCAUGGAACAGUACACACAGUUUUGUUCAUAAAGGAACACAGUGAGGACUGAUAAGGCAGGUUUGUGCACAGGUGACUGGGGAAAGAAAUCUGAAGGGACAAAGGUUUGAGCUCCAUUAGUAGCCAGAUUUCAUUUCAGUGUUCAUGGAAUCAUUUCAUUUUCAUAUGGAAAACAGUUGCAGG
rnacentral:lncRNA from 1 species